rnacentral:rRNA from 1 species
AGAGUUUGAUCCUGGCUCAGGACGAACGCUGGCGGCGUGCCUAAUACAUGCAAGUCGAGCGAAGUUAAGGGAGCUUGCUCCCAAGACUUAGCGGCGGACGGGUGAGUAACACGUGGGUAACCUGCCUGUAAGACCGGGAUAACUCCGGGAAACCGGAGCUAAUACUGGAUAAUCAACAUAGUUGCAUAACUAAGUUGUAAAAGAUGGCGCAAGCUAUCACUUACAGAUGGGCCCGCGGCGCAUUAGCUAGUUGGUAGGGUAAAGGCCUACCAAGGCGACGAUGCGUAGCCGACCUGAGAGGGUGAUCGGCCACACUGGGACUGAGACACGGCCCAGACUCCUACGGGAGGCAGCAGUAGGGAAUCUUCCGCAAUGGACGAAAGU